GCAUAACGCGAAGAACCUUACCCACCUUUGACAUAUACGGGAACGGGCUAGAAAUAGUCAACUCUUUGGACACUCGUAUACAGGUGGUGCAUGGUUGUCGUCAGCUCGUGUCGUGAGAUGUUGGGUUAAGUCCCGCAACGAGCGCAACCCUCGUUCUCUGUUGCCAGCACGUUAUGGUGGGAACUCAUGGGAUACUGCCGGGGUCAACUCGGAGGAAGGUGGGGAUGACGUCAAAUCAUCAUGCCCCUUAUGUCUUGGGCUUCACGCAUGCUACAAUGGCCGGUACAAAGGGCUGCAAUACCGUGAGGUGGAGCGAAUCCCAAAAAGCCGGUCCCAGUUCGGAUUGAGGUCUGCAACUCGACCUCAUGAAGUCGGAGUCGCUAGUAAUCGCAGAUCAGCAACGCUGCGGUGAAUACGUUCCCGGGUCUUGUACACACCG
rnacentral:rRNA from 1 species